UUAGGCUGAGCGUUGCAAAUCACUUCCUACGACAUAUUAUUCGGUCGCGCCAUGUAUACACGUUGUAUUAAAAUUAACAAGUAUUGAAUUAAAACAACAAUUGUAAUACACCUAUAUUAUUUGUAUUCAGAGAAUAUCAAGCAAGAGAUCAUCAUCCGCGGUUAUUCAGUUUAUCGAUACUGAAGAAAGCCGCAAACAGCUUAACAAAGAUAUCUUCUUAGAGUAAUCGGAGAUCAUCCCCACAAGGAAAAUAAGGGCCGAAGCCAAAAGCCCAAUCUUCAAAUAGAAACAUUAUUACAGAUCUUGUGGAAACAAAACAUGCUUGAGAAAGAAGAUAUAGACUUUGCCAUAAAACAAUUUGAUGGAGCAUAAAAAGCCACAGAUUGGAUAUUAGAGUAUGAAACAGACUAUGAAAAAUAUGAAAUCCAAAAUGACAAAAAACGGAUCGAGAAUUUGAAGAAAUAUUUGGGAAGAAACAGCAUCAGAAUAGUACCAGACAAAUCUGCUGAAGGAUAAAGAAUACAACUGGGAAAAUUGGAAGGAGGCAUUUCUAAAAGCUUUUAGCAAUAAAGGUUGGUCUGCACUACGAUACGCCUAUAACUUUAAAUACAUUUCAGGUUUGUUCAUUAAAAAUGCCAUAAAAAAAGAGUUAAUAUUGGAAGUAAGGAGGAAGACUUCUGAAGAGACAAGGAUAUAUCUAAUUGUUAUUGGAUUGCCCAUACACAUACAAGAUAAAAUCUUGGGAAAUAGAAUUUCCCAUGCCAAUUUCACCCAAUACAAGUAUGCAGAAACAGAAACGGAAAUGCACAGAGGAACCAAAAGCAGGGCUGGACGCCAUAAGAGAGUUUGAGUUGAAACAAGAUGAGAAUUUGAGAGUUAGUCAAAAGGUAAACGACAAAGGGGAAAUAAUAUUUAAUAGAAAAGAAGUAAGAAGAAAUAAUCAGAGAAGAAAGAUAAACGUUACCGAAUACAAAAAAAUGGACAAGCCGAUGGACAACCUAGGAGACACUUAAAUAACCUACAAAAAAAAAAGAGUUGCGCAACUAUUCCAAGGACAUUCCCUUCUACACGCCAAGUAGAAUGAAAAUUAAAAAACCAACAAAAAUGGAUUUAUAUAUCAUGCGUUUGGCCUGUAAUCUUCACAUAAAAUCUCGAUCAAUCCACGAUGCGUUUACGUCGGAAAUUACACGUCGAAGAAAAUUGCAAUUGACGGGACAUUAAUCGAGGACAACUCGAUCCCACUGCAAUAAAAUGUAACGAUCGAUUCAAGGAAAUCACUUUGGGAAAAUUAAGAAACUCUGGAAUCAAUUUGUUCCUUUGCAGUGAAAUGAACAAUUCUGCUAUGUGUAUGUUAUAAGUACUGGAUGGUCGAACAAGGAUCGAAUAUGUAGCGGUACUCGUUGGUACACAAGAAUUCGUUUUUACUGAAAGAUGAGUUUAUUAUAGAUCCGACAACCUUAGGCGGUUACCGAAGGUUACCGAAGGUUAAUUCAAAUCCGUCGUUUUUGUCGUGAUCAUAGGCUCUCGAGUCAACUACGCAAAAAGUCAACAAUUGUAAACAAGGUCGAGAGUUCAGCGUCCAUUGGGAUGUUUCGAGAACAUCUUCAAAAUUCAAAUCCCAACGCCUUUCAUCAACUCCGAUGCAUAUAAAUAUAGUGAACAGGAUAGCGGGGCAUUCUUUGUUAUCGAGUGACACGAGCAGUAGCAGUUCAGUCGAUACCUCUUUGCGCCGAUCUAUUAGUAAUCUCGAAUCGAGACAACAAUACGACUAGUGUACACAUAGGAUAUAUUUUAAUAAACUACAUAGUCAGAUAUA